rnacentral:rRNA from 1 species
UACGGAGGGUGCAAGCGUUAAUCGGAAUUACUGGGCGUAAAGCGUGCGCAGGCGGUUUGUUAAGUCUGUUGUGAAAUUCCCGAGCUCAACUUGGGAAUUGCAAUGGAUACUGGCAGGCUCGAGUAUGGUAGAGGAAGGUGGAAUUCCCGGUGUAGCAGUGAAAUGCGUAGAGAUCGGGAGGAACACCAGUGGCGAAGGCGGCCUCCUGGGCCAACACUGACGCUCAUGCACGAAAGCGUGGGGAGCAAACAGG